CAGUGUUCGAGUUGUAAUUUGAAGAAGGUAACUUUGGCUUUGGCUCUUGUCUAUGUUCCUUGGAACAGGACGUCACAGAGGGUGAGAAUCCCGUGCGAUGAGAUGCCCAAUUCCAUGUAAAGUGCUUUCGAAGAGUCGAGUUGUUUGGGAAUGCAGCUCUAAGUGGGUGGUAAAUUCCAUCUAAAGCUAAAUAUUGGCGAGAGACCGAUAGCGAACAAGUACAGUGAUGGAAAGAUGAAAAGAACUUUGAAAAGAGAGUGAAAAAGUACGUGAAAUUGUUGAAAGGGAAGGGCUUGAGAUCAGACUUGGUAUUUUGCGUUCCCUUCCUUUUUGGUUGGGUUCCUCGCAGUUUACUGGGCCAGCAUCGGUUUGGAUGGUAGGAUAAUGACAUUGGAAUGUAGCUUUACUUCGGUGAAGUGUUAUAGACUUUGUUGAUACUGCCUAUCUAGACCGAGGACUGCGUCUUUGACUAGGAUGCUGGCGUAAUGAUCUUAAGCCGCCCGUCUUG
rnacentral:rRNA from 1 species